rnacentral:rRNA from 1 species
AUACGUAGGGUGCGAGCGUUAAUCGGAAUUACUGGGCGUAAAGCGUGCGCAGGCGGUUUCGUAAGACAGAUGUGAAAUCCCCGGGCUUAACCUGGGAACUGCGUUUGUGACUGCGAGACUCGAGUGCGGCAGAGGGGGGUGGAAUUUCCACGUGUAGCAGUGAAAUGCGUAGAGAUGUGGAGGAACACCGAUGGCGAAGGCAGCCCCCUGGGUCGACACUGACGCUCAUGCACGAAAGCGUGGGUAGCAAACAGGAUUAGAUACCCUGGUAGUCCACGCCCUAAACGAUGCCAACUAGGUGUUGGGGAAGGAGACUUCCUUAGUACCGUAGCUAACGCGUGAAGUUGGCCGCCUGGGAAGUACGGUCGCAAGAUUAAAACUCAAAGGAAUUGACGGGGACCCGCACAAGCGGUGGAUGAUGUGGAUUAAUUCGAUGCAACGCGAAAAACCUUACCUACCCUUGACAUGCCAGGAACCCUGCUGAGAGGUGGGGGUGCCCGAAAGGGAGCCUGGACACAGGUGCUGCAUGGCUGUCGUCAGCUCGUGUCGUGAGAUGUUGGGUUAAGUCCCGCAACGAGCGCAACCCUUGCCGAUAGUUGCCAUCAUUAAGUUGGGCACUCUAUUGGGACUGCCGGUGACAAACCGGAGGAAGGUGGGGAUGACGUCAAGUCCUCAUGGCCCUUAUGGGUAGGGCUUCACACGUCAUACAAUGGUCGGUACAGAGGGUUGCCAAGCCGCGAGGUGGAGCCAAUCCCAGAAAGCCGAUCGUAGUCCGGAUCGGAGUCUGCAACUCGACUCCGUGAAGUCGGAAUCGCUAGUAAUCGUGGAUCAGCAUGCCACGGUGAAUACGUUCCCGGGUCUUGUACACACCGCCCGUCACACCAUGGGAGUGGGUUUCACCAGAAGUAGGUAGCCUAACCGCGAGGGGGGCGCUUACCACGGUGGGAUUCAUGACUGGGGUGAAGUCGUAACAAGGUAGCCA